UAAGGAAUAUUGGACAAUGGUCGCAAGACUGAUCCAGCCAUGCCGCGUGCAGGAAGACGGCCCUAUGGGUUGUAAACUGCUUUUGUACCAGAGAAAAACUAUCUACGUGUAGAUAGCUGAUAGUAUGGUAAGAAUAAGCAUCGGCUAACUUCGUGCCAGCAGCCGCGGUAAGACGAAGGAUGCAAGCGUUAUCCGGAUUCAUUGGGUUUAAAGGGUGCGUAGGCGGGCUUGUAAGUCAGUGGUGAAAUCUCUCAGCUUAACUGAGAAACUGCCAUUGAUACUGCAGGUCUAGAGUAUAGAUGACGUUGGCGGAAUAUGACAUGUAGUGGUGAAAGACUUAGAUAUGUCAUAGAACACCGAUUGCGAAUGCAGCUAACGAAACUAUAACUGACGCUGAGGCACGAAAGUGCGGGGAUCAAACA
rnacentral:rRNA from 1 species